GAUGUCCGAGUGGCUGAAGGAGGGUGACUGUAAAUUACUUGACUAAAAUCCGCGUAGGUUCGAAUCCUAUCGUAAUCA
rnacentral:tRNA from 1 species